UAUGACCACAUCAUGUUGAAACACUGGUUCCCAUAUGAUCAUCAAAGUUAAGCAAUGUUGAGCCUGGUCAGUACGUACAUGAGUGACUGCUUGGGAAUACCAGGUGUUGUAA